rnacentral:rRNA from 1 species
UGGCUAAUACCCCGGAUGUCUAGGCUGUUAGAGAGCCUAUGCCAAAGCUCCGGCGCCUUGGGAGGGGCCUGCGGGCUAUCAGCUUGUUGGUGGGGUAACGGUCUACCAAGGCUAAGACGGCUAGGGGGCGUGAGAGCGCGACCCCCCACAAUUGGAACUGAGACACGGUCCAUACUCCUACGGGAGGCAGCAGUGAGGAAUAUUGCGCAAUGGGGGCAACCCUGACGCAGCAACGCCGCGUGGACGAUGAAGGCCUUCGGGUUGUAAAGUCCUUUUUUGGGGGAUGAUAAUGACGGUACCCCAAGAAUAAGUCCCGGCUAACUACGUGCCAGCAGCCGCGGUAAAACGUAGGGGGCGAGCGUUAUCCGGAUUUACUGGGCGUAAAGCGCACGUAGGCGGCGCUGUAAGUUGGACGUGAAAGCUCUCGGCUUAACUGGGAGAGGUCGUUCAAUACUGCGGUGCUCGAGGUUGGAAGAGGAGAGUGGAAUUCCCGGUGUAGUGGUGGAAUGCGUAGAUAUCGGGAGGAACACCAGUGGCGAAGGCGACUCUCUGGUCCACACCUGACGCUGAGGUGCGAAAGCGUGGGGAGCGAACGGGAUUAGAUACCCCGGUAGUCCACGCCGUAAACGAUGGAUACUAGGUGUAGGAGGUCAUUUACCCCUUCUGUGCCGUAGCUAACGCGUUAAGUAUCCCGCCUGGGGACUACGAUCGCAAGGUUAAAACUCAAAGGAAUUGACGGGGGCCCGCACAAGCAGCGGAGCGUGUGGUUUAAUUCGAUGAUACGCGAAGAACCUUACCUGGGUUUGACAUGUUGGUAGUAGUGAAGCGAAAGCGGAACGACCCUUCGGGGAGCCAUCACAGGUGCUGCAUGGCUGUCGUCAGCUCGUGUCGUGAGAUGUUGGGUUAAGUCCCGCAACGAGCGCAACCCUCGUCGUUAGUUACAAGUGUCUAACGAGACUGCCGGUAUCAAACCGGAGGAAGGUGGGGAUGACGUCAAGUCAGCAUGGUCUUUAUAUCCAGGGCUACACACACGCUACAAUGGCCGGUACAAUAGGUUGCCACACCGCGAGGUGAAGCUAAUCCUCAAAGCCGGUCUCAGUUCGGAUUGUAGUCUGCAACUCGACUGCAUGAAGGCGGAGUUGCUAGUAACCGCGCGUCAGCAAUAGUGCGGUGAAUGCGUUCCCGGGCAUUGUACACACCGCCCGUCACAUCAUGGAAGUCGGUAACACCUGAAGUUGGCGACCGAACCGAAAGGUAGGAGCUGC